GACGAACGCUGGCGGCGUGCUUAACACAUGCAAGUCGAACGGAAAGGCCCUGCUUUUGUGGUGUGCUCGAGUGGCGAACGCGUGAGUAACACGUGAGUAACCUGCCCUUGACUUUGGGAUAACUUCAGGAAACUGGGGCUACUACCGGAUAGGAGCUCCUGCUGCAUGGUGGGCGUUGGAAAGUUUCGGCGGUGGGGGAUGGACUCGCGGCUUACCAGCUUGUUGGUGGGGUAGUGGCUUACCAAGGCUUUGACGGGUAGCCGGCCUGAGAGGGUGACCGGCGACAUUGGGACUGAGAGACGGCCCAGUGUCCAACGGGAGGCAGCAGGGGGGAAUAUUGCACAAUGGGCGGAAGCGUGAUGCAGCAACGCCGGGUGCGUGAUGACGGCCUGCGGGUUGUAAACCGCUGUCGCCUGUGACGAAGCGUGAGUGACGGUAAUGGGUAAAGAAGCACCGGCUAACUACGUG
rnacentral:rRNA from 1 species